rnacentral:snoRNA from 1 species
AGCAAAAUGAGGAGGUCAAUUGAUCUGAAGUAUCUAGUGUUGAUACAUCCAUUCUUUUUUAAAAAAAAAACCCCGAAAGUGGCAAAAGAUUUGCC